rnacentral:rRNA from 1 species
UACGAGAGGACCGGAGUGGACGCAUCACUGGUGUUCGGGUUGUCAUGCCAAUGGCACUGCCCGGUAGCUAAAUGCGGAAGAGAUAAGUGCUGAAAGCAUCUAAGCACGAAACUUGCCCCGAGAUGAGUUCUCCCUGAGACUAUAAGUCUCCUGAAGGAACGUUGAAGACGACGACGUUGAUAGGCCGGGUGUGUAAGCGCAGCGAUGCGUUGAGCUAACCGGUACUAAUGAACCGUGAGGCUUAACCUUACAACGCCGAAG